AAUGCACCAAUAUGUAAGUCGCUCUGGAUAAGAGCGUCUGCUAAAUGCCGUAAA
rfam:Salmo salar isolate Sally breed double haploid chromosome ssa23, whole genome shotgun sequence.